UUGGGAAGAGCAGGAUAUUCCCUCAACAUUCACCUACGCUUUAGGUUUCUCUAAACAAUUCUUGCUUUUACCAUGUCAUCCUCAAGGGCCAACUCCUUCUCUUUGGUUUUUCUGCACUGCUGUAGACAGGCCAAGUCUCUAGACAACUUAGUUUCUUAAAAACUGUAGGACAAAAAGGAGAAAUAAACAAGAUAAUUUGACUUCCAAUACGUAGUCACAUGUCUUUGGGUUAGGGUUGCAAGAUGUCUCCCUGGAUUGUUUCCAGUCUGACUCUCAAGUUUGGGAAUCCAAAUUUCGGCCCUACCCCUCAGGGGCACCUACAAGGAACAUAAGCUUCCUUGACGUUCACCUUAGAGAGCUGGCACCAGAGUGAAAUGAGCAGCUCCAGUCCACUCUCUGUGAAUUUAGAGCCAUACCUUGUUCUUACAGUUUGCUUGUCCCCCAGCUAUUACUUCCUGUUGAUUAUGCUUUUCAAAUAUGGUUUUAUCCAAGGCAUAGUUUUGGGCCCAGGUGACAUUUCCCCAUCCUGCACUCCAGCUGGAUUCUUCAUUAGCCUCUGCAUUCAUUCCUUAGGGCUGCUGUGAAAGAUGACCACAAACUAGGUGGCUUAAAACACAAAAAUUUAUUCUCUCACAGUUCUGGAGGCUGUAAGUUUGAAACCAAGGUGCCAGCAGGGUUGGUUCCUUCUGGAGCCUAUGAAGGAGGCUUCCAGUGGCUGCCAGCAAUCCCGGCUGCUCUUGGCUUUUAGACACAUGGCUCCAGUGUCUGCCUCCAUCAUCACAUAGCCUUCUUUUCUUCUUUGCAUGUCUUCUCUUCUUAGGAAGACACCAGCCACUGGAUUCAGAGUCUACCCCAAUCCAGUAUGACCGCAUUUUAAGUGGGAACAUUAGCAAAGACUCCAUUUCCAAAUAAGGUUACAUUCUGAGGUGCUGGGUGGACAUGAAUUAUUUCGGGGCAACCAUUCAGCCCAUUGCGGUCUCUCUGCCUUCAGACUCCUCCUUCUACCUGUCCCUGCCAUGGACCCUGUCAUUCUUUUCAACCUUCCUGUAGCGGAAGCGCCCCACCCCUGCUUUUAAGCCCUUCAAAGACUUCCCACUGCCAACAGAAUAAAGUCUUAUCUCUUUAGCUCAACUUAUGAAGACGCACCAUAGUUUGGCCCCUAUGAUCUUUUCUACAUUCCAUUUCUCCAUUUCUCCUACACACUCCCUACCAUCCCUGGGAAAGGUCUUCUAUGUUGUUGAACAUGCUGUGAAUGCUCUUUUCUCCUGCCUCCUCCUGUCUGUUGCUGAGAUGCUCUUUUUCUCGAACACCUGUGUCAUAUAUCUUUCCUUGUUCAUGAGGACGUUUCUAGCCAGCCCAUGUCAAAGGGCUCACCUCUCUCCACAGACCAACCCUAGCCCACACGGUGCACCAUUCCUCAGUCUGUAGUAUGGCUGUCCUCUACUGGUGACAUUUCCAUUUUCCAUUUCCAUUUUACCCAGCGGCAAGCCUGUGUGCUAUACUUCUUUGGGUCCUUGGUUUUGACAAUGGUGUUUGGAACAGGUGGCUUCAUGGUCAAUGAUUUUGUUUGCUGCUGCUGGUGUGAGCAUGCUGAAUUGCUCCAUGCCUGCAGCUCCCUCUAAAGCCGAUGGAGAGCCCUGUGCUGAGAUGAAAUGGGGGGAAAGGAGAAAUUUGUUGCCACUUUGAGAGUCAAAGGCAGUGGUCUUUCCAAGGGAGAGUGAACUAGCAGAAUCACUGCAGGAGAAGCAAAUUCUGGAGGCUGGGAUGCCAACAGGUGCUGUAGGAAAAGUUGUAAAGAUAUAUGUGGGGGAAACAACUGCUCCCAUCCUCCUUGGGAGACAAUUGGCAAACCACGUAGUUGGCAAAGGAUAGGGACUGGGAAGAAAGUAAAAGAGGAGACAGAGUACAAUGAACAGAAUAGAUGCCAAUGGCCUUAUCAGCUUUAACAGAUGAUCUGAAAACUUUAAAGUAACAAGGAAGUUUAUAUUCCCAUAAUUGUUAGUAGUGUCUUUUGCUAGCUCCUCCGAUGUGACAGUGAUUGACCAUUGGCAGCUGGGUCUUCAAACUCUCUUCUAAAAUGUUGCAUCUCUAUGGGGACACAUGAGGAACUUAGUUCUUCUAUCUGGAAGUAGGUGUCCUCUAAGAUUUCUUGUGUUGUGUACUCUGUAUCCCUUUUUUUUUUUUUUUUGACUAUGUCUCAGUUGCAUCAAAGCCCCAUUAACAUUGCCCUUUAGGAUCAAAAAGUAGUCCACCUGAGAAGAAAGAGUAGAGUUUUAGAGAACUGGGGUGAUAAUUCUGGGCAGAUGGCCAAGGUGUGGGCUCCAGGCUGAGCUCACUGACACAUGACAUUGUGUGUUUCAGGUACUGGGACAAAUUUCCAAUGUCAAAAUCUUUGAAGCCACCAGGGCCUUUUUUGUUUUUGUUUUUUGGCUGGGUCUUGGCAGUACUCCUUCAUAUAGUAGUAGGUUCAGAAACUCAGGCUAAGGAAAGCAUCCAGAAAAGAUUGUCUGCCUCUGCAACAGUUUGUGGAUAGCUUGUAAUUGUAGUUCUGAUCUUGUCAAUCUGUCUUAAAACUCUAAAUGUGUGGUCUCACCUGGCUAGAUACAGAAAAUACCUAUCUUCUUAUAGAAGCAGGCAAUCCUCAACCCCAUUAAAAAAUUAUGGUUUCUUGGACAUUCCAUCUAAUAGGAAUGCCAGUUUGCCUCCUGAUAUGUUGCCAGUCUGGCCAUUUCAGCAGUCACUAUUCAGCACUAGAGGAGGAAUUCAGUUAAAGUUCCUUUGUCAGUAAGUCUUCCACACAACAUAUUUGUUUCCAGGUCCUAAUGGUAAUUCCUCAGGAUCUGGAAAAAAAAAAAAAAAAAAAAAAGGAUCAACUCUCACGUUUGAGUUUGUCCCAUUCAUCUGCAUAAAGACUAUCCAUCAGUUUGAAGUGUCUUUUUGAGAAUCAGAAAGGGGAGAGGAUAUAGGGGGCAAAGGAUGUAUUCUUUGAGAUCCUGCUCUUAAGCAGUGAUUCUUCUCUAGCACUCCUUAUUUCUAGAAUUUUCCAGGCAUCUCUAACAAAAGCAAAGUACAAAGAGCAUUUAAUACAAACCAAAACAUGAAAUGAUCUUUUGAUGGUUCAGUGUCAUGGCUGUGACUUGGAAUUUUUCACCACAUUUAAAAAAAAAAAAAAGCCACAUACGCCCAGGUAGUCUCUGCAUCAAGUCUGAUACCAUUGCUCCGAUGUUACGAGGCUGAAGCAGUUGUGGCUGAUUGAUGUCACUCUUCUAGCCAUUUCCUAUUUCCACAGAGAGAGGCCGGGUUAAUCCAACUCCAGUCUAACUUCGGAGGCAUCAAGGAUUCUAGGCAGUGUCUCCCGUGUUUCUUUUUCCAAGUGAAUUCCUGGAGGGAAACAAUGAGGUCCAUGUGUCUUUGCAUCCCCAGGGACCAGCUCAGUAAUGGGCAUACAAGAACACGCUGAAAAAAGUUGUUUUGUUUUUGAACGACAUCGAUUUAAAAGUAGUAAGGUCCUCAUAAAUAUAGGACAUUGUACUCGUGUUUUUCUUCUGAGCAUACAAAUAUUUGCAAUGAGGUUGCACUGCAGAAUCCACAGCCAUUGUGACACCUGUGGCUCUGUGACUUGGAGGCAGAGGAGAUGGAAUGCCGGCGAGAAGAGGAAGAUUGUGGUGUGGAUGCGAGGGAUGAGGGUGAAUUAGUUUCCUACGGCAGCUGUUACAAAUUUACCACAAGAUAAAUGAGUUAAAACAGUACAGAUUUAUUAUCUCACAGUUCUGGAAGACAGAAGUUCAAACUACUGGCAAAGUUCAAAGUGCUGGCAAGGCUGUGCUCCUCAGGAGGCUCUAGAGGAGAACCUUUUUCUUGCCUUUUCCCGUUUCUAGGGGCCACCUGCAUCCUUCGGCUCAUGGCCUCUUCCUCCAUCUUAAAAGCCAGCUUCUUCAAAUUCGUCUCUAAUUCUGACACUACCUCUCUUGCCUCCCUCUCUCACUUAUAGGGGUCCCUGUGAUGACAGUGAGCUCACCCUGAUAAUCGAGGCUAAUCUCCCCAUCUUAGGGUUAGCCUUUAGCAACCUAAAUUCCACCGGCAACUUUAAUUCCCCCCUUGCCAUGCACCGUGACACAUUCACAGGUUCUGGGGAGGAGGGCAUGAGCAUCUUUGUCGGGGCAUUGUUCUGUCCAUCACAGAGAAGCACUCAGAGAUUCUGGACUCCAGUGUCCUCAUUGUACACUUGAGGAAGCUUGGGCUUAGAGGCUUUAUGUUAAUUCCAUCAGUUUUCCCAACAGGAGGAGGAGAAUGUCUGUCCAGGAGCCCUAAUCAAGACUCAGCAGGAGGCUGGUGGCUUCCUUUCCUUCCUUCCAGUUCUUCCUUUGCCUCCUUCUACAUAUGGAGCCCAUCUACAUAUGGGGCCCAUCGCAUUCCUUCUACAUAUGGGGCCCCUCGCAUUUGCACUGACUCAGAUGCUGAGGGGCCAGACUGAAGGGACAGUGGUCAUUGCAUCAAGUCAGAGAAUGGAUCUGACCCAUCUAGUUCUUCCUUCUACAUCUGUGCCUCAUCCCAUUUCCACUGACUCAGAUGCUGAGGGGUCAGACUGAAGGGACAGUGGCCAUUGCAUCAAGUCAGAGAAUGGAUCUGACCCAUCUAGUAGAAGUUUAUUGUUUUGGCAGAAGCACAAGCUCUUAGAGGUGCAGCUGCAGGGUAUGACCUAUUGGGGACAUUGAGCUCAGUGACCAUGGGCCCUGAGAGUCUGAAAUCCUCAAAUUUCUCCCAAAACAAAGUCCAUGUAGGGAAGCCAAAGUGUGAGUCUUACCCUGCUGGUUUACAACUGACUGACAUUUGCUGCCUGGGCAGCUGCUGUGGGUGCCUGGAAACCCUAUUGGACUAGGACUGGCCCCGGCAAAAAACAAGUGUUUCAGCUGCCCAGUGUCCUCUGAGUGGAUGCUGGUGAUUCUGGUAUGGAGCCCAGAUGUAAGGCAGCAGGUGGUCCAGAAGGCACCAGAAGAGGUCUCCUGUCAAGGUCAGGGCCAGACAGGAAGGCACAGGGAACCUACUGCACGAGACUUUCACUUGCAAAGAGCAACCCAUGAUGAGGAGGGAGGAUUCCUGGGGGCGUUGAGUCUCAUCCAUAAGGACACCUUUUCCAAGUUACUUCAUUUUGUAUAGCUGCAUAGUCCCUCACCCUUAUCACUGUACCAAGAGCUGGCAGCUGAACAAGAAUACAUCUUCUGACCAAGAUCCCUUCUGGGACCAAGGACACAAGGACCCAAGACCUUCUUGCUUGGAAAGUGAAUUCCUCAGAAUUGCGAGAUGAUGCCCGUCUUGGAGGAAGAUGACAUGAGGACCCAAAACCUUCUUGCUUGGAAAGUGAAUUCUCAGAACUCCACAAAGACUCCGGUCUUGGAGGAAGACGAGGUGUUGAGAGAUAGCUGGGAUCCCUGAGGAAGGCAGCCCCAGUCUCCGGUGGAGAAUUACGAGGGACCCAAGCAGAUGGUUGGUGGUGGAAACGUCACCUCAGUCUAGUACUAUGGAGUUUCCUUUCACCCCCAACAGCCGAUGGUUUCCAGGGGCGAAGAAUGAAAAGUGAAGCAAGAUGUCUCUACUGUCCAGGUGCAGAUAAGGAAGCAGGGCGCCUGCCACCCCCAAGGAAGAGUCAGUUCAGAAGCACAGCAGCUGCUGGAAACCAAGGAGGUUUCCAGUUCGUUCCUGCUGGGACCUGGCAAGAGUUGCACUGUCAAGGCUGCAAGAGCUCCUGACGGCUUCUGGCACGUACAGACUGGAAUAAGAGAACCUAGCAGAAAUGGAAGCAGAGGCAAGAGGUCUGGAGGCCAGGAAAAUGUCAAUGGCAAGCAGCUAGCAUGAAGACCCCACAGUGUUCUUCCCUCUAGUAGUGUGGUAUUAUUUGGAGCUGAGAUGCUCCCAAUAUGGUUGGGACAUUUGUCCCCUCCAAAUCUCAUGUGAGAAUUUGAUCCCCCGUUUUGGGGAUGGGGUCUAAUGGGAGGAGUUUUGGUCAUGAUGGGGGACCCCUCAUGAAUGGCUUGGUGCCCUGCUCACCAGGAGUGAAUGAGCUCUCACUCUACUAGUUCACUGGAGAGCUGGCUGUUUAAAGAGCCUGGCAUCUCCCCCACUUUCUCUCUUGCUCCCCCUUCUCACUGUGAUAUACCUGCUCCCCUUUGCCAUCCAUCAUGAGUGGAAGCUUCUUGAAGCCUCCACCUAAAGCAGAUGCUGACACUAUGCUUCCUGUACAGCCUGCCAUACCAUGAGCCAAAAUAAACCUGUUUUCUUUGCAAAUU